GUGCAGCAAUGUGUGGAACGCAACUUCGUCUUGGUGCUACGAUCGGCAUAUCCUUCGAAUUCAAUUAAGAAAAUGUUCAGCGUCUGCAAGUGAACUCUGCAGGUCCAUUCCAUUUUAAAUGGAAAUUCUCAGCCAGCGUUUGCUCUUGCUGCUGCUCGUAGAAGAUAAUGGAAUCCCCACCUAUGGAUAUGUGACUAUUUAUGAAUAAAGUAUCAACCUCGAUCUAUGAAGAUCGAUGGGACCACUGCCCCCAAUGGUACGCCAGCAACGAUUCUUCUGAUACUUCGGACCCGCAGCCACCGCCUCGACUAAUAAGAACAAUUUGCAAAGGCCGAGCCGGUGUACACAACGGUGACGACUGAUGUUCUGGCCAUAAUCGUAUGGGACCAUGUGACAAAUCGAUGUCAAUCAAUUACAUUUGUGGAUGAUCAAUGACCUUAUGGGCGAUUGAGUUUCGGUGUUAAAGACCCCUUUCGAAGCGAUUUCGAUUUCAUCUUGGAUUGGAUUUAGUUUUCUAACUUUCCUUGAAGAAAUCCCAUAUUAUUUAAUCAGCCAAAAUAUCUUCAACGUCUCCGGUAUUCUGUAAGUUUCUUUUCUUUCGAUGCCCACACAAUAAUACGCCGUUUCCAAGAGUUUUUUCCAGCGAUAUACUAAUAUCCUCCGCUCCAGUGUUUCCAAACGAAGUUUAGCGUUCAGAUAGCGACCAAAGUCCGUCCCGGACAUAUGACUGAGGCUGCCGCCCGAAAAAAUCUCGGAAUCGCCGGAUAAAUCGUGGAUCUUGCAGUUCAGUUGGCCUAUGUUCAACCAAGCUCUACGGAGACAGUCCAAGAUACAGUCUUUUGUAGUGGCGCUGUACAAAGUACCGGGGAAUUGGUUACCAA